CGUUGCCCGGGCCGGGCUUAACACAUGCAAAGUCGAGCGGUAACAGGAGAAAGCUUGCUUUCUUGCUGACGAGCGGCGGACGGGUGAGUAAUGUAUGGGGAUCUGCCCGAUAGAGGGGGAUAACUACUGGAAACGGUGGCUAAUACCGCAUAAUGUCUACGGACCAAAGCAGGGGCUCUUCGGACCUUGCACUAUCGGAUGAACCCAUAUGGGAUUAGCUAGUAGGUGGGGUAAAGGCUCACCUAGGCGACGAUCUCUAGCUGGUCUGAGAGGAUGAUCAGCCACACUGGGACUGAGACACGGCCCAGACUCCUACGGGAGGCAGCAGUGGGGAAUAUUGCACAAUGGGCGCAAGCCUGAUGCAGCCAUGCCGCGUGUAUGAAGAAGGCCUUAGGGUUGUAAAGUACUUUCAGCGGGGAGGAAGGUGAUAAGGUUAAUACCCUUGUCAAUUGACGUUACCCGCAAAAGAAGCACCGGCUAACUCCGUGCCAACAGCCGCGGGUAAUACGGGAGGGUGCAAGC
rnacentral:rRNA from 1 species